UGCCAGCAGCCGCGGUAAUACGGAGGGGGUUAGCGUUGUUCGGAAUUACUGGGCGUAAAGCGCACGUAGGCGGACCGUUAAGUCAGAGGUGAAAUCCCGGGGCUCAACCCCGGAACUGCCUUUGAUACUGGCGGUCUUGAGAUCGAGAGAGGUGAGUGGAAUUCCAAGUGUAGAGGUGAAAUUCGUAGAUAUUUGGAGGAACACCAGUGGCGAAGGCGGCUCACUGGCUCGAUACUGACGCUGAGGUGCGAAAGUGUGGGGAGCAAACAGGAUUAGAUA
rnacentral:rRNA from 1 species